UACGUAGGUGGCAAGCGUUGUCCGGAUUUACUGGGUGUAAAGAGCGCGCAGGCGGUCGUUCAAGUCGAGUGUGAAAGCCCCCGGCUCAACUGGGGAGGGUCACUCGAUACUGAUCGACUCGAAGGCAGAAGAGGGAAGCGGAAUUCCCGGUGUAGUGGUGAAAUGCGUAGAUAUCGGGAGGAACACCAGUGGCGAAGGCGGCUUUCUGGUCUGCUCUUGACGCUGAGGCGCGAAAGCUAGGGUAGCAAACGGG
rnacentral:rRNA from 1 species